CUUUUCGAGGUCGGCCGCGUGGCUGGAAGACAUGGCCACUCCAGUCGGUGUUGAGCACGGCGAGCAGUCUCAGGCCUUUAGUGAUGAUGGUAAGGCUGCCUGGGUGGGAAAACGGGGUCUUCCUUGACACGACACUAACAUACUUGGCUUCCCUUCCUCAGAGACGAAGUGGUGACGAUAAUCUCGGUUUCUCCCUCAUAGGGUGGUUAGGAGGGUUAAAAGUACUGGAUGAGAAAAUGCUUUCCAAACGUUGAGAAAAUGUUACUAUGUGAAGGGAGAGAGCUCAAGCCCGUCCUCGGCGUCAUAGGGCCGGCUUCUGCGGGGGAGAGCGCCUAACAACCUGGGCAGCCCCGUGCGCCUCCGCCGCGCGUGUGCUGAGCGUCAUGCCCAGGGGUCUUCGGUGCCCGCGCACGGGCAGACUCUGACGAUGGUGGUUCUUAAUUCAGCAUCAGGAGUGUUAACGUGUGAAGACGUGAUUCCGCUUGGAGUGUCUUGAGGACGGCCCCAAUCGGUAGUUCAUAUUUAGCUUUACAGAUAGGAGUCAAUAGGAUUGUAAACUUCUGGAAAGCCGUAGUUUUAACAACGAGCCUUUUUUCCUCCCCCAGAGGCCUUUCUUUGUUUGGCAUCUGCAGAGACGGUGAAAAGCAGAGCUCCAGGUUGAAGGAUCAGAGUAAUAGAUGGAGCCCUUAACAUGAGUAAGAGUGGGUGCAGGCAGGGCCUGAGUGGUCACUAGAAAUGAGAAAGCACAGUUGGUGCCAUCACAUACAUUCACCUCCUGCUUUAUUCUGAAGUUCAAGUAUGAGAAUACGUGUUGACAUACAAGCCAGCUAUGGUAAGAAAUUACUCAAAAUUCAGAAUGCUAAUUAUUUUAAUGAUAAAAAUGAGUAGCGUCUUUGCCCGUGUGAUUUGGGGCCACUAGGUGUCAUUGUAACCAGCGUGGAUCCUCGUUAGGGCAUGCAGGGAUGAAAGAGACAUGGCAAAUGAAUUUUGGAUCGCUAGGAUUUAGGAAUCUUUGUUAUUGGCUGAGCUGAGGAUGAUUUAAAGUUAUCCCUGUCUGAAAUGGUAUCUUUUGUGAGGAGGUCUGACUUGCUGAGGCUCAGCUGUUUAAUACAAAUCUGGAGAAUAAACCUUAAGGUGGUUUCUGUUAGAAUGAAGCCUGUUAUCCUUCUCUUUUAGAUUAAAGGUGGUGGCUGUGGCCUUGAAAACAGUCAUGUGAAAACUCAUCACCUUAAGGUGUUAAGUGUAAGGAUCUUCAUGAUGAAAUUUCUGUAAAUGGUGCAGUCAGCCUCAGUUUCCAAAGCCGGAAAAGGAUCCUCUAGUAGCCACGGUGUGGCAGCUGCUCUGAACCAGGACCUGGACCCGGACCCAAAGUGCCAUGUCUUUAAUGUUAGCUCCCAGCGAUGCCAGAUGGGAUCAGCACAGCCCUGCCUCUGCUGCUAAUUGUUCCUCUAAAGUAAUCGCCAUGCGUUCUUUGGGCUUCAUCUUUAAAGGAAUGAAGCAACUGAGAUUAUUCUGGAAAACCUUUUGGCAGUUAGUGAAAUUAGAGUACAACUAAGAACAUUUUCAGACCUCCACUGUGGAUGACCUGGGUAUAAUCUCACAAAUCGAUGGGACUGCAAGGAUUGUAAACUGAAAUGAACAUGAUUAUACUCUGUUGGAAGAGCCUAAGAGGAAACUGAUGCCAUGAGUUUCAGAGAGUAAUGCUUAACCCCAGUUACACAGGAUGCCGUCUUGUGUUUCCUCUUGUUUAGUUACCCACUACAGUGAUUUUGUGAUCUGCUAAUGGGUUGCCACCCACAACCAUUGCUUUAGCACUUUUACUUCAAAUCAAUGAAGGAUUGAUAAAAGUUCUCCUGGUGUCUCCGCAGAGUGCCUUCCAGGAACAGAUCUUUGCAUAGAAUAUCAGUGGUUUCCUUUUUUGUUUCAAAUAGUGGUCAGAAAAUACCCAGUGUUGACUCACCAAGGCAAUCAGCUUCCUUUUUCCCUUUUUUUGUUUUUUUUUUAACAUUUUAUAUUUUUGCUUUAUUUUAUUUUAUUUUAUUUUAUUUUAUUUUAUUUUAUUUUAUUUUUUGAGACGGAGUUCCACUCUGUCGCCAGGCUGGAGUGAAGUGGUACAAUCUUGGCUCACUGCAACCUCCACCUCCCGGGUUCAAGCAAUUCUCCUGGCUCAGCCUCCUGAGUGCUGGGACUACAGGCGCGUACCUUCUUUAGUAGAGACUGGGUUUCACCAUGUUGGCCAGGAUGGUCUCUAUCUCCUGACCUUGUGAUCUGCCUGCCUCAGCUUCCCAAAGUGCUGAGAUGACAGGUGUGAGCCAUCAGACCCAGCAUUUUUUUUUUUAAUUUAAAUUUAAAUUUUUUUUCAUUUUUUUGAGAGGUUUUUUUUGUUUUGUUUUGUUGUUGUUGUUGUUGUUGUUUUUGAGACAGUCUUGCUCUGUCACCCAGGCUGGGAGUGCAGUGGCAUGAUCUCUGCAACCUCUACCUCCCAGGUUCAAGCAAUUCUUGUGCCUCAGCCUCCCAAGUAACUGGGACUACAGGUGCACGCUACCACACCUGGCUGAUUUUUUUUGUUUUAGUAGAGACAGGGUUUCAACCAUGUUGCCCAGGUUGGUCUCAAACUCCUGAGCUCAGGCAAUCCACCCGCCUUGGCCUCCCAAAGUGCUAGGAUUACAGGUGUGAGCCACCACACCCAGCUAUUUUUUCUUUCGUUUUUUAAUUUUAAAGUUGGGGGGGGGUCUCAAUUUGUUACCCUGGCUGGUCUCGAACUCCCGGACUUAAGCGAUCCUCUGGCUCCAAGCCCACUACCAGUCUCAGGUUUCUUUACUAAAAGAUCACUACCUUUUUUUCUCUUAUCUGCUGCCAUGUGAGAUGUGGCUUUCACCUUCCGCCAUGAUUGUGAGGCCUUCCCAGCCAUGUAGAACUGUAAGUCCAAUAAACCUCUUUUGUAAAUUAAAAAAAAAAAAUCACUAUUUAAGAUACUAGGAUGGAUUGUGACUGUUGAGGAGUACUUACAUAUCCUACAUUUGACUACAUUAUUUCCAAACCAAGUAUUCCAUCCAAAGGAACAUACUGCUAUCAUAGAGACCAAGGAGGGACUGUUUAAGGUUGCCAAGGUGAAGCGAGCUGAGAGGCUUUGUCCUCGUGCCAGUAACUCUGAAAUCUCUCUUAAUUCCUGCUGUCCAGGCAGCAGAAUGCCAUGGUUUCCCCAAGUAGGUAGCUGCUUUAGCAGUUAAAGCCCAAAUGUCUGUUCUGUUGAUCAGAGGUCUCUGAAUUUCUGAAGUGGUGUUUCGUUUCUGGUGACUGAGUUAAUCCUUUACAAUCCCUCUUGUAAAGUGUGCUAAUAGAAAGAAUCCACCUUUCAAAGCUGCAGAACCAGACCGUGCCCUAAAUUGACCAACGUAACUGAUGUGCCUCAGGAAGUCUCUUGCCAGCUGUCCCUGUGAAGACCCCCCUCCUCCCCCCCAGCUGCUGCCUUGCACACUGAAGCAUCUCAGACUGUGCAAAGCCGUGUAGUCAUCAAGACAGUAAAUCCCAGGGCUUGGUUAAGUGCUGUGUGAUAACUUGUUUGGAUGAGACUUAACUUAAAACCACUUACAAUAAACUUGGGAAACUACCGUCA
rnacentral:lncRNA from 10 species